GGUUAUCCGGAAAUUAUUGGGCGUAAAGAGCUCGUAGGCGGUUUGUUCGCGUCUGCCGUGAAAGUCCGGGGCUCAACUCCGGAUCUGCGGUGGGUACGGGCAGACUAGAGUGAUGUAGGGGAGACUGGAAUUCCUGGUGUAGCGGUGAAAUGCGCAGAUAUCAGGAGGAACACCGAUGGCGAAGGCAGGUCUCUGGGCAUUAACUGACGCUGAGGAGCGAAAGCAUGGGGAGCGAACAGGAUUAGAUACCCUGGUAGUCCAUGCCGUAAACGUUGGGCACUAGGUGUGGGGGACAUUCCACGUUUUCCGCGCCGUAGCUAACGCAUUAAGUGCCCCGCCUGGGGAGUACGGCCGCAAGGCUAAAACUCAAAGGAAUUGACGGGGGCCCGCACAAGCGGCGGAGCAUGCGGAUUAAUUCGAUGCAACGCGAAGAACCUUACCAAGGCUUGACAUGAACCGGAAACGUCUGGAAACAGGCGCCCCACUUGUGGUCGGUUUACAGGUGGUGCAUGGUUGUCGUCAGCUCGUGUCGUGAGAUGUUGGGUUAAGUCCCGCAACGAGCGCAACCCUCGUUCCAUGUUGCCAGCGCGUAAUGGCGGGGACUCAUGGGAGACUGCCGGGGUCAACUCGGAGGAAGGUGGGGACGACGUCAAAUCAUCAUGCCCCUUAUGUGUUGGGCUUCACGCAUGCUACAAUGG
rnacentral:rRNA from 1 species